CUCAUUUUCUCUUGCUGCCGCCAUGAUUCUGAGGCCUCCCCAGCCAUGUGGAACUGCAAUACUUUAAAGACACAAAGUCUCAACAACCAUCUUCCGCUUGACGAGACAGAUCAUUCUAAUUUGAGCAGAAGCUACUAUGUCCUGCCCUUUGAACGCGGCGGCCCGGACAGCUGACAAGGACACACUGUGUAUUUCCAUUCCAAUUCUGGGAGUGCUCUGAGGCCUCUGGGGGAGAAGGACCCAUGAAAUAUUCAAAACAUAAGUGAAUAAAAUAUCUAGGUGCUAGAUAUGGGCCAGGAAGAGCCCUCGGCCCUGCAAAGUGUGUGUGAUGGUGAGAAGCUACCGGAAGAGAUGGUCCCUGUGCUUGGUUCAUUCCUUGGACAUUUAUCAAGCUGACGAAUGUAGCAGAGGUGCUUCAGUCGGCUGUAAUUCCACGGGUGGAGUGCUGGCUGGAGAGUUACCUGGGGCUGUCACACUGCAUGGGCUCCGGGACACUGUGGCUGCCCUUAUGUGGUGUCCCCGGAGGGCCCUGCAGGUGUCACACCGCUGCUCCACACUGCCACCUGCUGUCAGCAUCUGUGCAACGUAUCCAGGUCUCUGGGGGCUAGAAUGAAAAACAUGCAUCUCGUAACCAAUGAAAUCGGGCUUGUCCUGAAGACCUCGUGCAUUCAUCCAUUCUCACACUGCUAUAAAGACAUACCUAAGACUGGGCACUUCAUGAAGAAAAGAGGUUUAAUUGGCUCACGGUUCUGCAGGCUUUACAGGAAGCAUAGCAGCUUCCACUUCUAGGGAGGCCUCAGGAAACUUAUAGUCAUGGUGGAAGGUGAAGGCGGGACAAGGCGUCUCACAUGGGAGCAGUAGAGAGAGAAAAAGAGGGGGUGCCGCACACUUUGAAACAACCAGAUCUAACGAUAACUCACUAUCAUGAGAACAGCACCAAGAAGCUGGCGCUAACCCACUUGUGAAGGACCACCACCAUGAUCCAAUCCCUUCCCACCAGGUCCCACUUCCAACGUUGGGGAUUACACUUCACGGUGAGAUUUGUGCAGAGAGGACACAGGUCCAAACCAUAUCACCUGCUGUCUUUUUAUUUAUUUAUUUAUUUAUUUAUUUAUUGAGACAGAGUUGCUUCGUCACCCAGGCUGGAGUGCAGUGGCGUGAUCUCGGCUCACUGCAAGCUCCGCCUCCCGGGUUCGCACCAUUCUCCUGCCUCAGCCUCCCGAGUAGCUGGGACAACAGGCGCCUGCCACCACACCCAGCUAAUUUUUUGUAUUUUUAGUAGAGACGGGGUUUCACCAUGUUAGCCAGGAUGGUCUCCAUCUCCUGACCUCGUGAUCCGCCCGCCUCGGCCUUCCAAAGUGCUGGGAUUACAGACAUGAGCCACUGCGCCUGGCCUAUUGAUUUAUUUUUGAGAUGGGGUUUCGCUCUUGUGGCCCAGGCUGGAGUGCAAUGGCACGAUCUCGGCUCACUGCAACCUCCGCCUCCCAAGUUCAAGUGAUUCUCCUGUCUCAGUCUCCCAAGUAGCUGGGAUUACAGGCAUGCGCCACCAUGCCCAGCUAAUUUUGUAUUUUUAGUAGAGACAGGGUUUCUCCAUGUUGUUCAGGCUGGUCUCGAGCUCCCGACCUUAGGUGAUCCACCCGCCUCAGCCUCCCAAAGUGCUGGGAUUACAGGUGUGAGCCACUGCGCCUUGCCCACCUGCUGUCUUUUUGCAUCUUCCAAGUAGACAUCAAAGAUUGGUUUGCUAUCAGUGUCACUUCUAUAAUCCGUGGUUCUAUAUGAAGAAAACAAAAUCCCAAUUGGGGAAAAUGAACCCAUGGCAUUUUGUUUCUUACUCUGGAGCCGUUUCUGGCAGUUUGCCAGCAAGCACACAGACCCACAGGACAAGCUUGGUUCAUGGCCUGGAGUGCUGGUCUUGCUCAUGGACACGCAAUCAGAAGCAGUAUUUUGAUACCCCUGUGCUCAUGGCAAGGAGCUGCGUGGGCUUUCAGGGUGGAACCAGGGCUUCAGGGAACCCCUUCAUCCCGACAGGCAUCACCCAGAGCACACCCAGAGCAGCCUGCAGCGGCGUGGAAGGGGCUUGCACUGGCCCCAAGGUGCAGGGGAGCCCUGCCUGCCUGUCUCCUGCUAGGCUUGCCUGGGCUCCCGCCUACAGACCAUGAGAAUUCUUCUAGCAUGGGAAGAGAGUCUGACCAAAGUGACAACAGCCAUCCCCUGACUGCCCAGCACUGUUCACUUCUUCCCAGAUACUCCUACCAGACCAGGUCAGCCCUUCUUUUACUGGGGGGCCAGAAAGGUCCCCCCAAUCCAGUCCAGGACUCCAGAUGAUGCCCAUUUCUCUGCCAGUCCCAGCAAUCUCCCUUCUCAGCAUCUGGCAUCCUGGGAUGUACCCUAAAGUUCACUGGCUCAGAGCACCCUAACUAUGGCUGCGGCGAGGGGGGAGGGCGGGAUCAGGUCGGCGUGCUGCACAUGGGUCCUGGGGCGGGAACAGUAUUCUGGCUAUGCUCCUGCAGCUGGGCCCUCACAAGGGGCAGCGUCUGCACCCUCUCAAGGCUUUGCAGAUAAGGGUUUAUUGAAGAGGGAGGUGACCCACACCAUCCCCACUGAGGGAUCUGGUUAGGGGGCUCCCCCCAGAAUGUAGGCAAGAGGGCAGCAUCUUGAUAGUGAGGGUUGGUCACCCGGGAACCACAGUAACGUCUGCAGGGACCUUCCCCCAGUGGCACGCACUUCCCAGAAUGCUCACGGUCACCCUCAGCUUUCAACUGUGGGGACCUAACGCGUCUCCUGGUAGAGUCCUCACUCCCUUGGCUAAAACUUCUGAAAGCAGCGAGGCCGGGCUCCCUGGCUAGGAUGGCUCUGGCCCUGAGCAGGUCAUUUGCGUCAAGUUUCACCACCCAGCACCCUGUGCUUUCCCCAGCUGGCUGCACGCUGGGCCUCCGGGAAGCCGGCAAGCCCACCUGAUUCUGGAUCCUCCCUCCGAGCCUGGGUGACGCUGUCAUGAAAGAAGCUGCCAGAAGCCCACAGCAGGGCAGUUAGGCAGGGAAUGCGAGUCCGUGUCCAGAGCAAGGGUGACUCCAGUCCCUCCAGGACGGAGAAGCCAGUGCGACCCACUGUCCCAGGCCCCCAUGGCCCUGGCUGCUCCUGGCGGACAGAGGGGCAUGUUGCCCACGCUAUGCCUUGUUCCCUCUGGGCUGCCAUGGCCCCUGGAACAAUUCCUGGGACAGCCUGGGGAGGAGGCUGACAAUCAUGCAAGGUGGAUGCAGCUUGGCCCCUCCCAGUCACCUAUGUGUUCCUUCCUCAGACUCCCGUGGGGCUGGAGUCAUGAUUUUGCUCCCCAUCCCAUCUGUAGGCCGCCCCUGCCUGGAUGAGACCACGCUGACACUCACACGCCUCCCUCCAGGAGGACCUUGCCUCCACUUUCUCCAGGGCCACCUGUGAUGCACCAGGAUCCAUCCUGUAAUCCCAGCUACUUGGGAGGCUGAGGCAGGAGAAUCACUUGAACCUGGGAGGCGAGAGGCAGAGGUUGCAGUAAUAAGCCAAGAUUGGACCACAGCACUCCAGCCUUAGCAAUAGAGAGAGACUUCGUUUCAAAAAAAAAAACCUAUGCAAAUCCCAAUUACACACGCUGAGUGGCAUGUUCAGCUGAGCCACCUGCCCAAGGCGGGACCCUCUCUUCCUCCGUCUGCAGGUCACAUGGAGAUGGCAGAGCACCUGCACGUGCACCUGGAGACCCUCUCAAGCCUCGUCUCCUGGCACUGCCUCCUCCUGACAUUGGAGGCUGCUGGGAGUACCAGCCUGUAACCCUCGUUGUGAUGGCACCUGCCUGGUGCUAUAAUUCAGACAUUUGUCUCCCCAACCUCAUGUUGAAAUUUGAACCCCAAUGUUGGAGGUGGGACCUGACAGAAGGUGCCUAGGACAUGAGAGCUUGGUGCUGUCCUCGCGGUCAUGAAUGCAUUCAUGCUUUAUUCCUUCUCACAAGAACUGAUUGUUAAAAACGCUUGGCACCUCCUCUGCCCACUCUCUCUUGCUCCCUCUCUCACCAUAUGGUCUGCAUGCACCUGCUCCCAUCGCCUUCUGCCAUGAGUGGACACUUCCUGAGGCCUCACCAGAAGCAGAUGCUGGCACCAUGCUUCUUGUACAGCCUGCAGAACUGUGUGCCAAAUAAACCUCUUUUCUUUAUAAAUCACCCAACCUCCCAACACAAAUCGUCCAAGACACCUGGUGUCCCCCAAACAGCUCCUUGGUCAACCUCAGAUUCAGGACCAAUCUGAGAGCUGUUUCCGUGAAGGGAGGAGAGGAGAGUUGUUAGCUGAAGAGGACAUGGGUUUGCUCAAGAUCCCUGCAUUCUCCACUAUGGCUCUCUGAUUCUCCUCUCUGAGCUUGUGGCAGACACGGCAGAUACCUCAAGCAUGGCUGGGCAGCAGAUGCUGGCUGAGAGGAAGUGGCUGAGCCCAACUUGUCCCUCCUCAGACCCCAGAAUUGCCAAGACCAGAGUCCUCCAUAAAGACCUCACAAACAGGCAAUCACUGCAUGCUUUUCCACAAUUAAAUAUGUGCACAUCUUAAGGAAAGGACCUAACAUCCUUCAGCAGUAUCUCUUUCCAGGGCAGGGAGUGACUGCGUCAGCAGCCUCAAGUACCUGGAAACUGUCCACAUCAGGCAAAGUGGUGGGAGAGACACAGAUGUUUCCACCAGCAUUUAAAAGAAAGGAAAGAAAAUUAUUGACAAGAAGCCUCCAUGGUGGAUCAGGCUUCAACGUUUUGAUGGACCUGGCCUCUCUUGGAAGCAAAUCCCUGGAUGGAGCCCAUGUCUCUUUGGGCCCCCAAAGGCAGCCUGACCUUGACACGGAGUGCAAAGCAGACUCAGCUGCUUGUGUUUAAUGGGGAUUCGCAUAGUUGGUUUUUGGUUUUGUUUUUGUUUUGUUUUGUUUUUUGUUUUUUUUUGAGAUGGAGUCUUGCUGUGUUGCCUAGGCUGGAAUGCAGUAGCGUGAUCUCUGCUCACUGCCUGCAACCUCUGCCUCCCCAGUUCAAGUGAUUCUCUUGCUUCAGCCUCCCGAGUAGCUGGGAUCACAGGCACGUGCCACCAUGCCCUGCUAAUUUUUGUAUUUUUAGUGGAGAUGGGGUUUCACCAUGUUGGCCAGGCAGGUCUCGAACUCCUGACCUCAAGUGAUCCUCCCACCGCAGCCUCGAACAAUGCUGGGAAAACAGGCGUGAGCCACUGUACCCAGCUGGGAUUUGUGUAGUUUUGUCCGUGCUGUUAUAUGGUGCACUGGGCAGAGCCAGCCAGUCCCGCCUCGAGCCCCGUUACUUUGGUCUCUGAUGCAGAUGUUGUGUGGCAGUGGAACGGCCUCAUCAGCCCCACCUGGGACCUGGCAGGGGAUGGGUCUGAGCAGCCCUAGAGGAGGGUCCCCAGGGCCCACAGCAAGGGUGACAUGACCCACACCAUCCCCACUGAUGGGACCCACACAGUGAACCUCCUCCCACACCCCCUCCCCAGCCGGCCACUUGGACCAGAGAGACGUUAUCAAAGUGCCCUCUCAGAAACGUCGCCUUCAUCCACCAUCCUCUUUUAACCCACUGGGCUUGGUCAGGAAGCCGUUGGUCAGCAGGGGGCAGGUGGGGUUGGGGGGCACCCUUAUGUCCUGUGAGACCCUAGCAGGCACUCCAGCUUGGGAUUUCCAGAGGCUCUGAGGUGGCUAAGAACAGGAUGACAAAUCGACUCCAAGGUUCAACUCUUCCCCUCAUGGACACUCCUCCCUAUGCUGUUCUCAUCUCAAAUUUUACCUGUUUUUCUCAAAGUAGCUCACCAGAGGUUGGAAAUGAGAUCAAAGGUCAGCGUGGAUCUCAACAUUAUUAUUCAUCAGGGAAAUGCAAAUCACACCAGAGAUGAGACGCCAUGACACUCACACUAGCAGGGCUAAAAUUUAAAAGUCUAGCUGGGGCUGGGCAUGGUGGCUCAUGCCUGUGAUCCCAGCACUUUAGGAGGCCAAGGCAGGAGGAUUGCUUGAAGCCCAGGAGCUCAAGACCAGCCCCGGCACCAAAGCAAAACUGUACCUCUACAAGAAUUUUUUUUUUAAUUGGCUAGAUGUGGUACACAUGCCUGUGGUCACAGCUACUUGGGAGGCUGAGGAGGGAGGAUCACUUGAGUCCACGAGUUCGAGGCUUGGUGAACUGUGAUCAUGCCACUGCACUCCAGUCUGGGCAACAGAGUGGGACCUCAUCUCUUAAAAAUAAAGAAAAGGAAAGGAGUGGAAAGGAGAGGAGAGGAAGAAACUUGAUAUUUCAAUUAUUUUAAAUUUGUUGAGACUUGUUUUGUGGCCUAACAUAUGGUCUAUCCUGGAGAAUGUUCCAUGUGCUGAGGAAAAGAAUGUAUAUUCUGUACAGCUGUUGGAUGGAAUGGUCUGUAAAUGUCUGUUAGGUCCAUUUGGUCUAAACCAUAGUUUAAAUCCAAUGCUUAUUUGUUAAUUUUCUAUCUGAUGAUAUGUUGAAGGCUGACAGUGUGAUGUUGAAGACCCCAACUGUUACUAUAUUAGAGUCUCUCUCUUUAGAUCUAAUAAUAUUCACUUUAUAUAUCUGGAUGAUUUGGUGUUGGGUGCAUAUAUAUUUACAAUUGUUAUAUCUUCUUGCUGAGUCAGUCCCUUUAUCGUUAUAUAAUGACCUUCAUCUCUUUGUAGUUUUUGACUUAAAGUCUGUUUUAUCUGAUAGAAAUAUAGCUACUAUCGCUCAAAAAAAAAAAAAAA
rnacentral:lncRNA from 1 species